AUUGUGUAUACUUUUCAAUUCAAUCUAAUUCGAUUCCGAACAUACAAAAAUUAUGCAAUUAACGGGAAGAAUGUAUAUGUUCCUGUAAUUGUUCUCAUUUGGUGUAUGCUGACAGUCGCCAGUUAAUGUCGACAUACACCAAAGUCAUUGGUAAAUGUUUGGCAUAUUGAUUAAAUUUGUACUUAUUUGUAAAUGUACACUAGUGAAUGCCGACAUUUAUUGAACGAUUUUGGCGAAGUUG